rnacentral:rRNA from 1 species
UACGGAGGGUGCAAGCGUUGUCCGGAAUCACUGGGCGUAAAGGGCGCGUAGGCGGCUCAUGAAGGCUGUGGUGAAAGUCCGGGGCUCAACCUCGGAUCGGCCGUGGCGACUCGUGGGCUGGAGCACUGUAGAGGCGGGUGGAAUUCCGGGUGUAGCGGUGGAAUGCGUAGAGAUCCGGAAGAACACCAGUGGCGAAGGCGGCCCGCUGGGCAGUGGCUGACGCUGAGGCGCGACAGCGGUGGGGAGCAAACGAG